rnacentral:misc_RNA from 1 species
UUUUUAAUCAAAAUAAAACCAUAAAUUAGAUUCACACUUAUAAAUCAAAUUUCAACCAUAUCACCAACCCUUUUCCAACUCUUCAUGUCAGGCAGAAGGUGUAGCCAAACUUUCCUUCUGUUAAAGAUCAAUUUUGGCUAAGCUGGGAUAGUUUCUGUUCUGCAUCCAGAUAGUUUCACUUACAAGGAUAAAAAUUAAGUUCUCUUUAACCUCAUAUGUACAAGUUGAUGAAGUCUCCCCUCAAUAAAUCUAAAGCAAAAUUUGGCAUGUGUGUGUAAAACAUCUUUUAAAUCAAAAGAUUGAUCCACAAAAAUAAGAAAUUCAGAAUAGACUAUCUUUAAGGCUUCCCCCAGUGAGCAAAUUGAAAAAUGAAUCCUCUUUGUUGCCACUGUCCUUUUCAGAUUCUGCAGAAUGAAGAUCUGUUACUGUUAUAUUUGCAGUUGAGGUUGCAGGUCUUUUAACUGAGAUGAAUGCUGCUGUUGAGGGUGCAGGUCUUUUAACCGAGACAAAUGUCACCGACCUCGCACUGGACUUUGGUGUCAAAGGUUUUGAUCUUGGAGAUGAACUUGAGGUUGCAAGCAGGUCACCUUCUGGUUGAAGUUUUUCAUCUGGAGUUCCUGCAUCUGGAUUAUCUCCCAGGUCAAAACCACCUUCAACUUCCUUCUUGUUCUCUCUCUCAGUGGAAGGGUCAGGAAACAAAUCCUUCUCGUCUUCCUUGGUGUAAGUAGAACCUUCUUUGGCAGGAUGCUCGUUCAACUCCUCAAAGGCAGAAUCAUCUCCAAGAAAAGACUCAAUACUCUUAUAUCGUAGAGCUGAUGUUUCAAUGGAAGCAUCUCCAUGAACCCCAACUUGACUUUCUAUUUCGCUUUUUUGUAUUGUCUCAAGUAACACAAACUUAUCUCUCUCCCAUAUGCACUCUAAAGUGACAAACUCCUUAUUUGUUGGAUAAUACUCCCUAAAAGCCUCAAUUCCUUCCUUAGUUAUUUUAAUCGAUUGCUUCUUUUGGGAGAGAGAAUAUACCAUGUUGAAUACUGAAACGACAUCAAGUAAUAUCUGUAGGAGAAAACCAUAUGAACGUUUCAAUCAAAAACAGCAGCAUAAUUUUCACUCACAGCAUUCAUCUAGAUAUCCAGAUACUGCACUAAUUUGAAACAUUACAACCUCCCAAGAAAAAACAGACUCUCAUUUGUACUUGCUUUCAAUCAUCUAUCCUAUAUAUUAACUAUUCUACUUGUUAUCUAUUGUUCUGGUGAAUUAUUUUCUAAAUGCAGCAGAAACAUGCUCUCCAUGCUAAUGAGAACUCUCAACUGUCCCAGCUUUUCUCCGUUUCACACAUACCAAUUGCACCUUUUUUCUCACAACUUAGUUUGCACCACAAUAAACACUUCUUGAGCAUACGGAUGACUUACUUGCUGAACCAAAACUCUGAGUCGUGCAAGCAGAGCCAGAAUAGUAAGAGAAAAUCCCAUAAAAAAAGAACGUGCAAGCAAAGUGGAUACCUCAGUGGCUGCCUUCAGCAUUAGCUCAACCAUCUGUGACAGCAAAAGAGAACAAAUAUUUAGUUUCAGCAGCACAUCCAUAAGGUUAAUCAUUGUCGUAGGAUUAUUCAACCUCCUCUUACUAGUCUAUUAGCAGAUUGUUAUCAUCUCCAACUGAUCAUAUGGUUAAAGUAUGAAACCCAUGAAACAAAAAGAUGAGUUCGUGAUUUAUCAGAAAUGUCUUCGUUUUUAUAAAUCCAGUAUAUAUGUGAAUAGAAAUCAUGUGGAAUCAGAAGAAGAUGAAAAGAAAAUGCACCUGAGAUAGUAAGCGUGCUGCACCCAGAAGUCGCUCCAUAAAAUUAGGUACUCCACAGUCACUUUUUCUCCUCUUCAAACUUUCCAGAAAAUGCACUUUUUGCUGAGGUUUUCUUCCAGUGAUAACAUGAAAGCAGGAACCCAGUAUCUCUUCCAACUUGGCUGAUUGCAAAAGCCUCAAAUCUCGUCUCACCUAAAAUCCCAUGCCGGAAGUAUAAGCUAAAAAAAGAAUUCUAUAAGAAUAAAAAUAAGAUAAGCUAUUCUCCGUUUGAGAGCAAAAAAUGCACUAAAAGAAUACCUAAUCGAGAUUUGAGCUUAGAACAGUAUUAUAAUUUAAAACAAAAAAUGCACCAUUGGGCCAGUAAUAGCUACUUACCCUGUUCAAAAUUUUCAGUAAUUUUCCGAGCGAAUCAUUUUUAUAUUUUUUUGCUUCACUUUUCUGAGCAUCCAAAUAUCAUUUUAGCCUCAGAAAACAAAUAAAAAUCCAAAAGAGGCAGAAAAUUCAAACACGCCAUCAACUCAAUAGAAGGGAACCUCACCCUUUCUUAACAAAAACAACAAAAAUCACAUAGUUCUAUUUCUCUUCAUCAAUUUUCUAUACAGCAAACAAAACCCAGAAAUUGCUAACAUGAAAGAAUACUAAACCGCUCAGAAUUUGAAAUAGUAAUUCUUUACCUUUAGGAGAUACUGAAAAUAAGAGCUUCUUCUGUGCUGGUUUUUGUUUUUGUAUACAAUUCUUUCAAAAACCCCACACUCUGCUUUGAGCUGCGCAAGAAAAGAUUUCAAUCUCUCCUCUAUACUUUCAAUUUCAGUGCCCAUUCUACAAUUUCUCAAUUGUUAUAAAUUAAAACCGAAUACUGAAUCGUAAGUACGUAACUGCAGCUCGCUUUCUCUCUAGAUUUCUAGAGAGAGAAUUCUUUGUCUUGUAGGGUUUUUUUCUCUGCGGAACCAGCCGCUUCUUCUGUCUCCCUGUCCCUAUCAGGCAAGGGGGGCUCCUACCCUGUCCGAUAUCGUGGAUUUCCACCCUCCCCUCACCAGGUGGCGCUGUAUAUACUUCUUUUGCUGUGUUUGUUUUCUGCAGUUAUGGGUUUAUAGUAAGCGUGUUUUAUGGUUACCUGCUCUGUUGUUUUUGUGUUGUGUUUGGCUCAGCAUAGGCCAUGGUUGCUAUGGGUCAAGUUACUUGUGGUUGGAAGCUCUAUUUUCUGCUCGUCGGUGUUUGAGGUGUGGUAUCUCGGGGACGUUACCGGCGACUCUAAAUGUGCUCAAUCCCUCAACAGCUACAACUGAAUGAGAUCACCAAAAGCGCUGCCUCGCCUCCCGACGAGCUCAAGGAUGUGGAUGGCAGCUACUUGCAAGGGUUCUUCUUGGCCGAGUAAGGGCUUCAGUGUUUGUUCUCUCGGUUCAGAUGGCCGGAAACCGCCCGUGUUCCUUCUUUUCGGCGAGGUCGUUCUCAGCUCGGGACUUGGUGCUGCGGCACUUUGCUUUUGUACUCUGGACCUAGCUUUCUUU